UGUUUACAUUUGACAUGAUUCUGCACUUUUGCUGUUGCCACUCAACAAACACAAACAAUGGUUAAUAAAUGGUGUCUAUUAAACUUAAACCAUUAAAUUGUUUCAAUUAUUUCCUAAUUAUGCAUGAUUAAAUGUUAAACCGUCAAGAAACCUGUUGAUACUAUUUUAAUGUACAGUUUGUUUAUCAUGUCUUUGCCUUGUUUUUGUGACUCAAACGCCUUCAGGUUUGAAAUCUUCAACACCACCAUUGAUUAUUAUAAAGAUCAAUGAAACUUCAAUGGAGCAGCUGAAUUGAUUCCUCUGGUUGUCUUUGAAAAACCAUCAUCAGGAUUACAAUCAGUGCUAUUAAUAUUAUUAUCGUCAACAUCAUCUUUAUAAUUUGGACAAAAUGGAUUCACUGUUUGGUUUAAUCACAGGCAAAGGUUAAAGAUUGUGUUACCAUCUUUAGUAUACAUUGCUCCUAAUGUAUAUUCAUAUAUGUGAUCGUGAUUCAAUUGUCUUGAAAUUAAAUCCAAAAGGCUAAAUUAAGAAUAACUGUUACGAUAUGGAUAACAAUUAAAGGAAUACACUGACAAGAAAAGUGAAAAUGUUUGAAUAAUCACACAACCAUUAUUCGGAUAAUCAUGUCACUUGGAUCAAGUCAAGUCAAGAUUUACUAAUUUAUAAAGACUGAUAUCUGUCAAUCAAUCUGAUUGCUGAAAGAUGAAAUUAAAAUGAAGCUAAAUCAUGUACAAAGUGUCUAACAAUCAAAUUGGUACCUUCCUGUUUUAUUCAUCAUUCAAAUACCAAGGAUUGGCACAGAUGAGUUACCUAACGUGUUAUUAAAAAAUUGUUCAAUUCAACAAUUGUUAUAACACUUGUUUACUGUUGAUUAAUAUCAAUAAUCACAGUUAACAAUUUCAAGAAAUGUGGAAACAAUCUGGUUAACCCAAGUGUUUAGACUUACGUAUGAUUGCUGUUGAUUGACAUUAACACAUUAUCAUUAUCAUUAUCACCAUCAUGAUCAGCUGUCCAUGUGAUAAUUGUAUUAAAAUGUUAAAAUUGUAAACCAGGCCAGGUCAGUUAUAUGAAAGCGUCAAGUCAUCUUCAAGUGUAACAAUCAACCAUUAUUGCAAUGAUUUCAUUUAAUUAAAUGAAAUGAUGAUCACUCGGUCAGCCGGAAGUUAAUAGAGCUUCUCUCUUCCUCUGGGCUAAUGAUGAUGAUUAUGUUGAUGAUGAUGAUGAUUAUGAUGAAAAAUUAGAGUGAAAUUUCCUUGCUUUAAUCACAAAUCUGUACGAGUUUGCCUUAAGCAAGGGAAAAAUAUAAAUCAGUUAACUAGCAGUUUGAUUAAGGUUAAACAAUUUAAAUUGAUUACUGUUAAACGUUUGAUUCCGCAUUUUUUUGUAUCAACUAAAUCACUUGUAAUUUAUUUAUUUGUAUCUUAUUGUAAACAUUUUAUGCUCAUGAAAAUGAAAUGUUUUAAAAUGUAAUUUAUACAUCUAUGUGUUAUGUGAUACUUCAGUAAAUCCCUAAUCUCAUCCUAAUUGACUAAUCAAAUUAACUGCAUUUAAUUUUAUCAAAUGACCACAUCAAUACAGAACUUUAAAAAUUGUAAUUUGUAACAGUUGCUUAAGACCAGUAAUAAGUAAAUUAUAAAUCAAUUAAUGGUCCAUCUUUUUAUCAAUUUAGGUGAAAUUAUGGUUUAAAUGAGACGUUAAUCAUUUUAAAUUGAUCUAAUAAAGUUCACAGUUUGUUUUUUAA